GUAAGCUGUGUCUGUCUGAUGCUUUCUUUCCCCUGUACCCAGGCUACUUCCGAUUUUCAAGAAAUAUCUGAACACCGUUCUGCAGCAACUUUACAGAAGAACUUGUUUUCCUGAGAGGCUAGAAUGGGGCUUUGCCAUGAACAAGUGCUGGGCUAGAAAGAGGCCCAACUCUGGCUUUUAGAUCAAACAAUAACCAUUGCUGUCAUUUACCGACAUGACAGAAGCUUUCUCAGACCCCAAGCCCCGUAUGCAGCCCUCGUCCUCAGAGCUCGCCCUUCUCCCACAAGGUUGUUUGGCUGCGACCGCCCAGUCGGAGGAGCCCAGCGACCUUAUUAUCUCUCUCUAACACUGAGGCUCCGAAAGUGCAGAGUGCUAUUAGCAAAUCCUUGGAGACUGCGGAAAGCAGACAGUCCAGUGAUGCUGAACCCCGUUCCCGGGAGACCUGGAAGCAGAGCUGGGCUCCACCUCUGGCCAGCUGAGCACUUGUCCUCAGGCAAAGGACUCGGCCUCUCUAGGCUCCUCUGCAAAACUGGGAAAUAAUAGUAACCGCCUCAUGAACUAGUCAGGAAGACAACCAAGUAUAAUGUAUACAUGGGCUUAGGUUUUUGUUGUUGUUGUUUGUUUUUUGUUUUUGUUUUUGUUUUUUUGGUCUAUUUAAGAUAGAGUCUCGCUAUGCAGUUGAGUUUGGUCUUGAGCUCACUUCGUAGCCCAGGCUGG
rnacentral:lncRNA from 1 species